rnacentral:rRNA from 1 species
GCAUCGGCUAACUCCGUGCCAGCAGCCGCGGUAAUACGGAGGAUGCGAGCGUUAUCCGGAUUUAUUGGGUUUAAAGGGUGCGUAGGUUGUUUUGUAAGUCAGUGGUGAAACCCCGUGGCUCAACCCCGGGCAUGCCAUUGAAACUGCAGAACUUGAGAAUGGACGAGGCAGGCGGAAUGUGUGGUGUAGCGGUGAAAUGCAUAGAUAUCACACAGAACACCGAUUGCGAAGGCAGCUUGCCAGACCAUAUCUGACACUGAAGCACGAAAGCGUGGGUAUCGAACAGGAUUAGAUACCCUGGUAGUCCACGCAGUAAACGAUGAUUACUGGGAGUUUGUCUGCUUAAUAGGAUAAGCUUCUGAGCGAAAGUAUUAAGUAAUCCACCUGGGGAGUACGUCGGCA